rnacentral:tRNA from 1 species
AAGCCGGAAUAGCUCAGUUGGUAGAGCAGAGGACUGAAAA